rnacentral:rRNA from 1 species
CCUACGGGUGGCAGCAGUGAGGAAUAUUGGUCAAUGGACGAGAGUCUGAACCAGCCAAGUAGCGUGAAGGAUGACGGCCCUAUGGGUGGUAAACUUCUUUUAUAAAGGAAUAAAACGAGGCACGUGUGCCUUUUUGCAUGUACUUUAUGACUAAGGAUCGGCGAACUCCGUGCCAGCAGCCGCGUUAAUACGGAGGAUGCGAGCUUUAUCCGGAUUUAUUGGGUUGAAAGGGAGCGUAGAUGGUUUGUUAAGUCAGUUGUGAAAGUUUGAGGAUCAACCGUAAAAUUGCAAUUGAUACUGGCAGUCUUGAGUACAGUUGAGGUAGGCGGAAUUCGUGGUGUAGCGGUGAAAUGCUUAGAUAUCACGAAGAACCCCGAUUGCGAAGGCAGCUUACUAAACUGUGACUGACAUUGAUGCUCGAAAGUGUGGGUAUCAAACAGGAUUAGAUACCCCAGUAGUC